rnacentral:rRNA from 1 species
UACCUGGUUGAUCCUGCCAGUAGUCAUAUGCUUAUCUCGAAGAUUAAGCCAUGCAUGCCUAAGUUCAAACACUUGAAUUGUAAAACCGUGAAUGGCUCAUUAUAACAGCUAUAACCUAAGAGUAGUAACUUUUUGUCUUUGGAUAACUGUGGCAAUUCUAGAGCUAAUACUGUUCAUUAUGCCGCGACUUCGGAAGCGUGAACUUAUUAAUAUUUAAAACCAAUGCACCUUCGGGUGGUUUUAGAUGACUCUGGAUAAUUUUUCUGUUCGAAUGGCCUUGUGCUGUCGAUCUUUCUCUUCAGGUGGCUGACCUAUCAACCUUCGUUGGUAACAUAAUCGCUUACCAAGGUGAUAACGGGUAACGGGGAAUCAGGGUUCGAUUCCGGAGAGGGAGCCUGAGAAACGGCUACCACAUCCACGGAGGGCAGCAGGCGCGUAACAUACCCAAUGCUCGAAGAGCGAGGUUGUGAGGAUAAAUAAUAAUAUGGCUAUUAUUUAGUCAUAAUUACAAUGAGAUCAUUUUAAAUACUUUAACGAGUAACAAUUGGAGGGCAAGUCUGGUGCCAGCAGCCGCGGUAAUUCCAGCUCCAAUAGCGUAUAUUAAAGUUGUUGCAGUUAAAAAGCUCGUAGUUGAAAUUGAGAUCUGUAUUUGUUUGAUGAUCUAUGAUCUAGAACUAAUCGGACCUUAUCAGUCGUGUACAUUUUUGAUGUCCUUUUUGGGUGUUGGAAAUGACCGGCAACUUUACUUUGAAUAAAUUAGAGUGCUUAAAGCACGUUACGCCGGCAUAUUUUUGCAUGGAAUAAUAGAAUAGGACUUCGGUUCUAUUUUGUUGGUUUUUCGGAACUGAAGUAAUGAUUAAAAGAGACUGCCGGGGGCAUACGUAUGCUGGUGGGAGAGGUGAAAUUCUAAGAUCAUCAGCAGACGACCUACUGCGAAAGCAUUUGCCAAAANNNNNNNNNNNNNCANNNACGAAAGUCAGAGGAUCGAAGACGAUCAGAUACCGUCCUAGUUCUGACCAUAAACUAUGCCAACUGACAAUUCGCACAGGCAAUUUCGAUAGCUUGGCGAGAAGUCACCGGGAAACCUAAGUCUAUGGGUUCCGGGGGAAGUAUGGUUGCAAAGCUGAAACUUAAAGGAAUUGACGGAAGGGCACCACCAGGAGUGGAGCCUGCGCUUAAUUUGACUCAACACGGGAAAUCUCACCCGGUCCGGACACUGUGAGGAUUGACAGAUUGAUAGCUCUUUCUUGAUUCGGUGGGUGGUGGUGCAUGGUCGUUCUUAGUUUCGUAACGUGAGUCGCCAGGUUUAUUCCGAUAACAAGCGAGACUCUAGCCUGCUAAAUAGUACAUGUGUGAUAAUAAGCAUAUGCUGACUUCUUAGAGGUAUUAAUGGCGUAUAGCUAAUUGAGAUUGAGCAAUAACAGGUCUGUGAUGCCCUUAGAUGUCCGGGGCGCACGCGCGCUACAAUGGCAUUACCAGCGAGUAUUAAAUCCUAGCCUGAAAGGGCUGGGUAACCUGCUGAAUUGAUGUCGUAACAGGAAUAGUGGAUUGCAAUUAUUCCUCUUGAACGUAGGAAUUCCUAGUAAGUACAAGUCACUAGCUUGUGCUGACUACGUCCCUGCCCUUUGUACACACCGCCCG